rnacentral:rRNA from 1 species
AACGAACGCUGGCGGCAGGCUUAACACAUGCAAGUCGAACGCAUCCUUCGGGGUGAGUGGCAGACGGGUGAGUAACGCGUGGGAACGUGCCCUUCAGUUCGGGAUAACCCAGGGAAACUUGGGCUAAUACCGGAUACGUGCGAGAGCAGAAAGAUUUAUCGCUGAAGGAUCGGCCCGCGUCUGAUUAGCUAGUUGGUUGGGUAAUGGCCUGCCAAGGCGACGAUCAGUAGCUGGUCUGAGAGGAUGAUCAGCCACAUUGGGACUGAGACACGGCCCAAACUCCUACGGGAGGCCGCAGUGGCGAAUAUUGGACAAUGGGCGCAAGCCUGAUCCAGCCAUGCCGCGUGAGUGAUGAAGGCCUUAGGGUUGUAAAGCUCUUUCGUCCGGGACGAUAAUGACGGUACCGGAAGAAGAAGCCCCGGCUAACUUCGUGCCAGCCGCCGCAGUAA